rnacentral:lncRNA from 1 species
GGGCUCGUAUUCAUAACUUGUAGACUUAUCCGCACAAUUAAAAUGAAAUCACAAAAGUGCCCAUGUAGCAAUUCAUUCCUACACUUUAUGAGCUUCCCUUCACUUCUAUAUCUGCAUCAUAAGCAUUUGAGAAAGCUUUACCAAAUUCACCCUCAUCACCAUCAUCUCCAUCAAAGAAAUCCUCACGAACAUUGUCAGCUAACAUAAGUGCUAUCAACCAAAAUAGAG